AGGAAUAUUGGUCAAUGGACGAGAGUCUGAACCAGCCAAGUAGCGUGAAGGAUGACUGCCCUAUGGGUUGUAAACUUCUUUUAUACGGGAAUAAAGUUAGCCACGUGUGGCUUUUUGUAUGUACCGUAUGAAUAAGGAUCGGCUAACUCCGUGCCAGCAGCCGCGGUAAUACGGAGGAUCCGAGCGUUAUCCGGAUUUAUUGGGUUUAAAGGGAGCGUAGGCGGGUUGUUAAGUCAGUUGUGAAAGUUUGCGGCUCAACCGUAAAAUUGCAGUUGAUACUGGCGACCUUGAGUGCAACAGAGGUAGGCGGAAUUCGUGGUGUAGCGGUGAAAUGCUUAGAUAUCACGAAGAACUCCGAUUGCAAAGGCAGCUUACUGGAUUGUAACUGACGCUGAUGCUCGAAAGUGUGGGUAUCAAACAGGAUUAGAUACCCUGGUAGUCCACACAGUAAACGAUGAAUACUCGCUGUUGGCGAUAUACGGUCAGCGGCCAAGCGAAAGCAUUAAGUAUUCCACCUGGGGAGUACGCCGGCAACGGUGAAACUCAAAGGAAUUGACGGGGGCCCGCACAAGCGGAGGAACAUGUGGUUUAAUUCGAUGAUACGCGAGGAACCUUACCCGGGCUUAAAUUGCAACUGACUGAACCGGAAACGGUUCUUUCUUCGGACAGUUGUGAAGGUGCUGCAUGGUUGUCGUCAGCUCGUGCCGUGAGGUGUCGGCUUAAGUGCCAUAACGAGCGCAACCCUUAUCGAUAGUUACUAGCAGGUCAUGCUGAGGACUCUAUUGAGACUGCCGUCGUAAGAUGUGAGGAAGGUGGGGAUGACGUCAAAUCAGCACGGCCCUUACGUCCGGGGCUACACACGUGUUACAAUGGGGGGUACAGAAGGCAGCUACACGGCGACGUGGUGCUAAUCCCGAAAGCCUCUCUCAGUUCGGAUUGGAGUCUGCAACCCGACUCCAUGAAGCUGGAUUCGCUAGUAAUCGCGCAUCAGCCACGGCGCGGUGAAUACGUUCCCG
rnacentral:rRNA from 1 species